rnacentral:rRNA from 1 species
AGCGAACGCUGGCGGCAUGCUUAACACAUGCAAGUCGCACGGCUGGGGUAACCUGGCAGUGGCGGACGGGUGAGUAACGCGUAGGUAUCUAUCUCCGGGGUGGGGACGAACUGUGGGAAACGUACAGCUAAUACCGCAUGACACCUGAGGGUCGAAAGACAGCGAUGCGCCCGGAGAGGAGCCUGCGUACGAUUAGCUAGUU